AAAAGAAUAAGUUAAACUAAACUAAAAGACUUCAAAUCUUAUAAUAUUGAUAAUAUUCAAUCUCUUUUG
rnacentral:tRNA from 1 species